rnacentral:rRNA from 1 species
UACAGAGGUCUCAAGCGUUGUUCGGAUUCAUUGGGCGUAAAGGGUGCGUAGGCGGCGCGGUAAGUCGGGUGUGAAAUCUCGGAGCUUAACUCCGAAACUGCAUUCGAUACUGCCGUGCUUGAGGACUGGAGAGGAGACUGGAAUUUACGGUGUAGCGGUGAAAUGCGUAGAUAUCGUAAGGAAGACCAGUGGCGAAGGCGGGUCUCUGGACAGUUCCUGACGCUGAGGCACGAAGGCCAGGGGGAGGCAAAACGGGG